rnacentral:rRNA from 1 species
UACGUAGGGCGCAAGCGUUGUCCGGAAUUAUUGGGCGUAAAGAGCUCGUAGGCGGUUUGUCGCGUCUGCUGUGAAAACCCGAGGCUCAACCUCGGGCCUGCAGUGGGUACGGGGCAGACUAGAGUGUGGUAGGGGGAGACUGGAAUUCCUGGUGUAGCGGUGGAAUGCGCAGAUAUCAGGAGGAACACCAAUGGCGAAGGCAGGUCUCUGGGCCAUUACUGACGCUGGAGGAGCGAAAAGCGUGGGGGAGC